UGUGUCUCUUGGAUUUAUAAGAUGGCUGCUCCUUUCUGUGCUACAGGGGAUGACUUCACACCCAUGGUGGAGGUGUGGGGGGCAAAUAAUGAGGGAAUAAUGGGCUUCGAGGUCUCAUGACUUGGGAGUCAUCUGCUGGCCCCUUGUCCUCUCCAGCUGAUGAUCCACGGGGAACUAGACCCAAUAAGUGAUCAAAGAGAAAGUGUCAUCAUCCUGAAAUCUUCCUUAGGCUGAGCCCUUGCUGGAGACCAACCAAGCUGAGAUCAGGAUCUGAUAAACAUCUCAAAGCAGGGCCAAGUUUUGACUUUAUGGAUCGAACAUAUUCCCUUGUGCUGUGCUCUGGGGAGGUGUUUGAAAAUGUUCGAGAUGUAGAAGGUUAUGCUCAGCGCUAACAUUCUCGGAGCCUGGGAUGAGAGGACACAUGGAGUCACACACUGAAUGGCUAAUCCUUUUCGCCACUCCCACCCCACGUCACUGUCAAGCGUGUGCAUCCUCUGUGACGGCACUUCACGGCCUGCACACCUGGGACCAGUCCGUUUUGUGAAGGAACAGAGGACAAGUGGCUUGGCCUCCAGAGACGUUAGUUACCAGCAGCGACUUUCAGGUGACAGGUCAUGCUGUACCCAAUCCCAAGUGACAGAGGCACCUGUGUGUUCUUUAAUAAACAUAUUUCUUUGUGUA
rnacentral:lncRNA from 1 species